GUCAGGUGUUGUCUCCAUUAAAAGAUGGAAUUGUUGCUGACUGGGAUAUUGUUGACAGCAUAUGGGAACAUGCCUUCAGCAACUCCAUUUCUUUCAAGGUCAAGGAGGAGACUCAAAGUUCUGAUUUGUGUGGCGAGUGAUAAUUGAUGUUUAGUAUAAACUGAUAAGCUUGAUGGUGAAUUUAUAUGCAGUGUAUGGAUAGGAGGCAGUAUAUUGGCUUCUCUUGGUUCCUUUCAACAAAUGUGGUUCUCCAAAUCCGAGUAUGAAGAGCAUGGAGCUUCAUAUAUCCAAAGAAAGUGUCCUUGAGUUAUGAUUGGUAUGAGCAUCCUGCCACUAAUCAAUGUUGGUGUUCAGGAAGUUUUCUCAUGAACCUUGAAGUACUAGAUGAAAAUCAAGGUUUGUGACCUAUAUCUUUAGGGUCCUUAUCGCUGCCUACAUUACCACGAUGCUAAGUAUAUGUAUGGAAAAAGUGAAUCGAUGCAUCAUCCAAUGUGCCAUUAUCAUAUGUUUUAAUGCUGUAAUUUUCUGGUUACACCUUUACUGUGCUAAUUGUCAUUACGUGCUGACGAGUUGACAAAUUGUGUAAUGUAGACUUCUGCAUUUGCUGUAAUAUAAUGAUUAUAGCAAAUGCAGGAGUCCACAUUACACAACUCAUCAACACAUAAUGACACAAUAGCCGAAAUCUUUCAUUACCAGUGUUGGCGGUCAUUGUGAUUUGUGAGUGAGAAAGGUGAAUGGAUGUGAAGCGGAUAGUGACGAUAUUUAAAAAACAAAAUAUUCCGUGCAGAUAUUUUACGUGGAAUGAUGGGAGAAUAGAAUAAGGACAAAACUUUAUGUUAUUCUAUUAUCUUUUUAAACAAUAAAAAUUGAAGUUGCCUGCCAACAACACUGAUAAUGAAAGAUUCCAAAGAUUUGUCCUAUUAACCACUAAUUUCUAUAAUGUGAUGGGUUGUUUUUUUGGCAUUUGUGUUUUCAAAUCCACGCAUACCAUAUGAAAACAAAGCAUGAACUCAUCUUUGAGGUCCUUACCUGCGCAUUUAUUAUGAUGAUGUUCAGGUAAGGACUUUAAAAUGGAGUUCAUAAAUGCUUUGUUUUCAUCUAGUAUGUGCGGGUUUGAAAACACUGCUAAAAAACAACCCAUCACAUUAUAGAAAUUAGUGGUUAAUAGGACAAAUCUUUGGAAUCUUUCAAUGGUGUUGGCAGGCAUUGUCUUAUUAUAUUCUCCCAUCAUUCCACGUAAAAUAUCUGCAAAACGGAAUAUCAGCUUCACAUCCAUUCACCUUUCUCACUCACAAAUCAAUGACUGCCAACACUGAUAGAUUUCAGCGAUUUGUCCUAUUAACAUUUUUAUAAUUUGAUGGGUUGUUUUUUGGCCUUUGUUUUCAAACAAACACAUCUAUAAAUUAUAAUAAAGCAAACAUGAUAAUUUGACAUAUGUCAGCUAAGUAAAGUGUUAGAAAAAUAUCAAAUUUCUAUUAAUAGAAAUAAUACCUCAUUGUGCAGAAAUUUCUAUUAUUUCAGAACAAAAGAAGAGUUAAAUACAAUUUUUUAAUAAGUUAUUAACUGAAAUUAAAUACAAAAACUUCAAUUUUUAUUGUUUAAAAAGAUAAUAGAAUAACAAAAAGUUUUGCCCUUAUUCUAUUGUCCCAUCAUUCCACGUAAAAUAUCUGCAAAACGGAAUAUUUUGUUUUUUAAAUAGCGUCACUGUCCGCUUCACGUCCAUUCACCUUUCUCACUCACAAAUAACAAUGCUCACAAGUAACAAUGACGGCUGGUAGUGACAGAUUUCAGCGAUUUUUACAAUGUGAUGGGUUGUUUUUUGGCCUUUGUGUUUUCAAAUAAACACAUCUGUACAUUAUAAUAAAGCAAACAUGAUAAUUUGCCAAAUUUGACAAGUGUCAGUUAAGUAAAGUGUUAGGAAAAUAUCAAAUUUCUAUUAAUAGAAAUAAUAAGUGCAAAAAUUUCUAUUAUUUUAGAACAAAAUAAGAGUUAAAUACAAUUUUUUAAUAAGUUAUUAACUAAAAUUAAAUACAAAAACUUCAAUUUUUAUUGUUUAAAAAGAUAAUAGAAUAAUAUAAAGUUUUGUCCUUAUUCUAUUCUCCCAUCAUUCCACGUAAAAUAUCUGCAAAACUGAAUAUUUUGUUUUUUAAAUAGCGUCACUAUCCGCUUCACAUCCAUUCACCUUUCUCACUCACAAAUAACAAUGACGGCCAACACUGGUAAUGACAUAUUUCAGCUAUUAACCACUAAUUUUUAUAAUGUGAUGGGUUGUUUUUUUGCUUUUGUGUUUUCAAACAAACACAUCUGUACAUUAUAAUAAAGCAAAUAUGAUAAUUUGGCAAAUUUGACACGGGUUAAAGUGUUAGGAAAAUAUCAAAUUUCUAUUAAUAGAAAUAAUACCUUAUUGUGUAGAAAUUUCUAUUAUUUCAGAACAAAACAAGAGUUAAAUACAAUUUUUUAAUAAGUUAUUAACUAAAAUUAAAUACAAAAACUUCAAUUUUUAUUGUUUAAAAAGAUAAUAGAAUAAUAUAAAGUUUUGUGCUUAUUAUAUUCUCCCAUCAUUCCACGUAAAAAUAUCUGCAAAACGGAAUAUUUUGUUUUUUAAAUAGCGUCGCUAUCCGCUUCACAUCCAUUCAUCUUUUUCACUCAUCACAAAUCACAGUGUCUGCCAACGCGAUUUGUCCUAUUAACUCCUAAUUUUUAUAAUGUGAUGGGUUGUUUUUUGGCCUUUGUGUUUUCAAACAAACACAUCUUGUAAUAAUUUGGCUAAUUUGACAUGUCUAUACGUUAUAAUAAAGUAUAUGUAUGGAAAAAGAUGAUGCAUCCAUUCACUUAGCAUCAUGGUAAUGUAUGUAGGCAGCGGUAAGGACCCUAAAGAUAUAGGUCACAAACCCUUGGUUUUCAUUAGUACUAGUGUGUAACCCGUGCGUCGCACGGAAACAACUUACGAUAUUAAUAAAUAAAUUGUUAUAUUAA